rnacentral:lncRNA from 1 species
AGGAAUUGUCAGCCUGGUAUUUAGAUAAUCUAUUUUGGCUACUUGUUAUGGAAUUAUUGUUUUACUGCAUCAAACUCUGUUGUGCAAUGAAUACUCUGAAAUAUUAGAACAAACAGUUGUUGCCUAUUUUGAUAUGUACCUUUGAUGAGCUCGUGCUACAGAAUUACGUUGAGUAACAAAGUAUGCAUUAACUUAAUGAAGAUGGAUGUAGCUUUAUAUACUUAGAGCCUGCUUAAUGC